AAAACUUCAUCUCAAGAGAAAAGGCUCUUCUCGUCCAACAACACUUCUUCCCCUCCUUAAUUCCAAAAGAAAAUGAAAGACUUGAACUCGAAAUUGGAGAUGGAGAACUUCCAAAUCAUGCAACAAAAUGAGAGGUUGAAGAAGAUGACUGAGUUUUACAGCCAAGAGAAUCAGGCUCUUCACAAGGAGCUCAACCACCUCCUCGCUGUCGCUGCUGCAGCCGGAAUACCCAUCCCUCAUGAUCUCGUGAAUAGGCCCACCACCUCCACCUCCACCACCAGCUCCUCAAAGUCCAACAACUGAGAAGAAGGCCAGACCAAUAUGUUUUUGUUUUGCUCAUCAUCAACAUUUAGUUUCCGUUUGUCUCAAUUAGAUAAAAGCGUCUCAAGUCUAAGGUGUUUUCUUAUGUUACUGUUGUUUGUCAAUCGGAUUAUAAUUUGGAAAUUAAUAUUUGGUUUCAUUAUAACUA